GAUGAACGCUGGCGGCGUGCCUAAUACAUGCAAGUCGAGCGAACAGACGAGGAGCUUGCUCCUCUGACGUUAGCGGCGGACGGGUGAGUAACACGUGGAUAACCUACCUAUAAGACUGGGAUAACUUCGGGAAACCGGAGCUAAUACCGGAUAACAUAUUGAACCGCAUGGUUCAACAGUGAAAGACGGUUUUGCUGUCACUUAUAGAUGGAUCCGCGCCGCAUUAGCUAGUUGGUAAGGUAACGGCUUACCAAGGCGACGAUGCGUAGCCGACCUGAGAGGGUGAUCGGCCACACUGGAACUGAGACACGGUCCAGACUCCUACGGGAGGCAGCAGUAGGGAAUCUUCCGCAAUGGGCGAAAGCCUGACGGAGCAACGCCGCGUGAGUGAAGAAGGUCUUCGGAUCGUAAAACUCUGUUAUUAGGGAAGAACAAAUGUGUAAGUAACUAUGCACGUCUUGACGGUACCUAAUCAGAAAGCCACGGCUAACUACGUG
rnacentral:rRNA from 1 species